CAAUAUCCAACAGCAAGUUCAUGCUACGAGAACCAAACCCAGAGGUCACCAUGCAUUUGCGAACAACCGAUAGAAAGUAGCCAUCAAAGUAUAUUGGAUGACUCUAUUGGCUCUACUGAUGAUCACAUGGAUGGGGACAGCUCCGAGAUUUCGGAUAAUUCUACCAGCUCUACUGAUGAUGACACAGAUGGGGACAGCUCUGCUGCAACUUCUUCUACCUUUGAUCCCAGCUGUGGGACUGAGAACAGCAGCAAACAGACACUGGACAAUCCCCUGUAUGAGAAUUCACGCCUCACCCAAGCUGCCAGCCUCCUGUUGAUUAUGGCGCAUGUGCUGAGGUACCAUGACUCAAAGGAAGCAACAGAAAGCCUGCUAAAAAUUAUUGAAGCACACCUUCCUGAGGAAACAAACUUUCCAACCACAAAGUACGUUUUCUUUAAGCACUUUAAUGCGAGUAAACAGCUCCUAAAAGCUCA